AGUGAACGCUGGCGGUAGGCCUAACACAUGCAAGUCGAACGGCAGCACAGUAAGAGCUUGCUCUUACGGGUGGCGAGUGGCGUACGGGUGAGGAAUACAUCGGAAUCUACUUUUUCGUGGGGGAUAACGUAGGGAAACUUACGCUAAUACCGCAUACGACCUACGGGUGAAAGCAGGGGAUCUUCGGACCUUGCGCGAUUGAAUGAGCCGAUGUCGGAUUAGCUAGUUGGCGGGGUAAAGGCCCACCAAGGCGACGAUCCGUAGCUGGUCUGAGAGGAUGAUCAGCCACACUGGAACUGAGACACGGUCCAGAGUCCUACGGGAGGCAGCAGUGGGGAAUAUUGGACAAUGGGCGCAAGCCUGAUCCAGCCAUACCGCGUGGGUGAAGAAGGCCUUCGGGUUGUAAAGCCCUUUUGUUGGGAAAGAAAAGCAGCAGGUUAAUACCCCGCUGUUCUGACGGUACCCAAAGAAUAAGCACCGGCUAACUUCGUG
rnacentral:rRNA from 1 species